GACAGAGGGUGCAAACGUUGUUCGGAAUUACUGGGCGUAAAGCGCGUGUAGGCGGCCUAUCAAGUCGGAUGUGAAAGCCCCGGGCUCAACCCGGGAAGUGCACUCGAUACUGGUGGGCUGGAGUCUCGGAGAGGGUGGUGGAACUCUCGGUGUAGAGGUGAAAUUCGUAGAUAUCGAGAAGAACACCUGUGGCGAAGGCGGCCACCUGGACGUAGACUGACGCUGAGACGCGAAAGCGUGGGGAGCAAACAGG
rnacentral:rRNA from 1 species